rnacentral:sRNA from 1 species
AUCUGUUGCGGGCAGAUAAAGUGGAUGUGACUGUCCACACCCCCCGCGGUCAGAAUACGCCCCUCGCCCGCGAUAAUCUCGGUGCCCGGCCCGAUGAUGAUGUCAACGCCGGGUUGCGUAUCGGGGUUGCCCGCCUUGCCGAUGGCAUGGAUCACCCCGUCUUUGAGCGCCACAUCGGCCUUGUAGAUGCCCGAAUGGUCCACGAUCAGCGCAUUGGUGAUCACGGUGUCCACCGCGCCCCCUGCACGGGUGACCUGCGAUUGGCCCAUGCCAUCCCG